UGCUGAGGGCGAAGGAAUUUGCUGGCAAGGAGUGGAUGAUCAUGGUUGACAUGAACCAUGCGGAUCUGCAGUCAUGUACUGAUGUGAAUGUAGAAGACAAGUUCUCUAAUACCACCCAACUUUCAACUGUCUUCUCCAAAUACCUUCAAAAGGCGAACAGGGAUGGCAUGGGACAACAUUGAGCUAACUUCAUUGAAAUGCAAGUCUGCAAUAUGAAGACCUGUAAUCUGGUGACUGAAGGUGAACACUUUGCGGAUGCUCAAAUCAAAGAUGUUGUUUGUCAAUGACGCGGUGCAGGCAGAACAGUUUGAUGAUGUACUGAUGAAUAUCUAUUGGAGUAACGCUACAUGUUCUGGAUCAUUUAAUCAUAUGUUUUAGCGUUAAAAGUAUGAGAUUGAAUAUCUUUUCUUUCAUGAAAAUUGAAUUGAGGGCAAGCACAAGGAAAAAAAAUAGUGCUAGACAUUAUUUUUGUUUUUCUUAUCGAGGCCAAAAUGUCUUAAUUACAGAGAUCUUCCAAUAUUUUUCUAGUGGGGGUUCUUCCAUUCCUUUUUUUUGAGGAAUUAUGACAGUGAGGGAAGCUCCCCACUGAC
rnacentral:rRNA from 1 species